UUUUGAGCAAAAAUCCUUAGCUCGAUUAACUAUCAUAACCUAACUAAACCAUAAUAUUUAUUAAAACCAAACUAAAACAUUCUCAUUAAUCCUAGUACGGGCGACAGAAAAGAUUACACGAAGCAAUAUAAAUAGUACCGCAAGGGAAUAUUGAAAAAAAUGAAUUUAAACCUAAGCAAAAAAAAGCAAAGGUUAAACCCUGUACCUUUUGCAUUAUGAUUUAGCCAGCAAAAACUAAGCAAAGAGAACUGAAGUUUAAAACCCCGAAACUAAGUGAGCUACUCAAAGGCAGCUAAUUAAUCCAAAGCUACAAUCAUCUCUGUGGCAAAAGAGUGAUAAGACCUUUAAGCAGAGGUGAAAAGCCUAACGAACCUAGUGAUAGCUGGUUGCUCAAUAAAAGAGUAUAAACUCAACCCUAAACAAUCUAAAAACAACCAAAAGUUCAAAGAAAAUUUUAGGAGCUAUUCGAUUAGGGUACAGCCAAAUUGAAACAGGAUACAACCUAUAAACGAAGGAUAAAACACCCAACAAUUUAACCUACGUAGGCCUUAAAGCAGCCACCACCAAAGAAAGCGUCAAAGCUCCACCUAUACAAAUAUUAACAAUAAUUUACUCCUCAAACAACACUGAGCCAUUCUACUAAAAUAGAAGAACUAAUGCUAAAAUGAGUAACAAGAAGAUAAACUUCUCUUUAUACGCCAGCUUAAAUCAGAACAGACAAACUACUGAUUAUUAACAACCUUUAUAAGAACAACAACAUUAAACACAACAUAUAACAUAAACUGUUAACCCAACACAGGAGCGUAAGAUAAGAAAGAUUAAAAGUUGUAAAAGCAACUAAGCAAACAAAGAACCCGACUGUUUACCAAAAACAUAGCCCCUAGCAACAACAAGUAUUAGGGGUGAUGCCUGCCCAGUGAUAAUAUUCAACGGCCGCGGUAUCCUAACCGUGCAAAGGUAGCGUAAUCACUUGUCCUUUAAAUAAGGACUCGUAUGAAAGGCUAAACGAGGCUCUACCUGUCUCUUACAGCUAAUCAGUGAAAUUGAUCUCCCUGUGCAAAAGCAGGAAUACAAAUAUAAGACGAGAAGACCCUGUGGAACUUCAAAUAAAUCAUCAACCAACACCACACUUACCCUAAUGGUUUAUAAACAAAGUAAUAACUGAUGCAUACUUUUGGUUGGGGCGACCUCGGAGCAAAACAAAACCUCCGAAAAAAGAACACAACCCUUUACUUAGCCAAACAAAUCAAAGUGUUUACAACAAAAUGAUCCAAUCUAUUUGAUCACCGAACAAAGCUACCCCAGGGAUAACAGCGCAAUCCCGUCACAGAGUCCUUAUCGACGACGGGGUUUACGACCUCGAUGUUGGAUCAGGACAUCCUAAUGGUGCAACAGCUAUUAAGGGUUCGUUUGUUCAACGAUUAAAGUCCUACGUGAUCUGAGUUCAGACCGGAGUAAUCCAGGUCGGUUUCUAUCUAUAAUUUAAUCUUUUCCAGUACGAAAGGACCGAAAAGAAAAGGCCCAUAUUAAUAAUACGCCUUAAACUUAUAUUAGUGAAUAUAACUAAACUAACAAUAAGAAUACUACCACUAACCCAAAACACAGGGUUA
rnacentral:rRNA from 1 species